rnacentral:lncRNA from 1 species
AUCUCCCUGUGUGUGGGACACUGCCUGCUGGGUGUUCCGUUCCAGCCCCUCUAGAAUGCAUGCUUGAAUGGCCAGUGAGGCUGGGGGAGGGACCGAGAGGGAGCCCUCACCCCCAGCAGCACAGAGCAGGAGCUGGACGGUGGGGCUGGGGGUGAGGCCAGCUGAGAGGGGUCAGGUCCUGCCACGGGAGGGGGACUUUUAAAGUUCCUCCAUGGCCCUGGAACCCUGGAGCCUCAGGAGUGGCAGGGGAGCUUCUCCGCCCUAAUAGCAAUCAGAUGGCGCAAGUGGAAAAUCACGGCGCUCGGCAAGCAAGCUGGAAAUUGGCGGGCUGUGGUGCCUGGUGCCUGCGCUGCUCAGCGGGAGGAUGAGUCAGGAGUGUAGUGCCCAGACUGGGAGAGAUGUGCCUCUGUGGGCAUCUUGAAGGGAAAUGAGAAGCGGAGCUGCCCCUGCACCUGCGCUGGGAGCUGCCUGCCUCCUGCUUGUCCUGGCCAUGUGCGAACCUCAGCGUGGAAGAGGGACUCUCGCACUGCUCCCUGCGCGGCUCAGCUGGCCUCCUGGGGUCCGUUUUUCAGGGAUGGGGUGAGGAGGGACUCUGGGAUCCUGGAGGCUCACGGGCCAUGCCUGAGGCUGAGAGAGAGGCUGGAGGCAGCAGGCAGGGUGGUGACCCGUCCCCUCCUCUCCAGGGCAGCCAGCUGGGGCCCAGCUGGAACGCUUGUUUACAUGGGGAGGCCGGGGGAGGCUGAAUCCCGGCGAGUUCCAAGUGUAAUUGCGUUUGGACACUUAAAAGGAAUUGUGUGAAGUGGGCAGAGGCUCUGAAGUCCACCGCCUUAUUUGGUGCUUCUGUGGCCUAUGGUUGCCCUGCUGCUCCCUGGACGAGGGGGUGGGUGUGGACCAGCCCUCGUGGCCCCUCUGCAGCCAGCACCAUCCUCAGUAAAGACUACAGGUAUUUCCUGAGCACCUGCAGGGUGCCAGGCACUGUGCUCUGUGCUGAUGAAUAGGACAGGCAAGGUCCCUGCUCUCCGGGAGCUGAUGUCCAACAGAGAGGCAGACCAGGUCAAAGGAAACACAGUAAAAUGCACCUGCGAUGAAGAAGGUGUGCAGGGCCAUUCGGCUGGUGUGGUGGCUCACGCCUGUAAUCCUAGCACUUUGGGAGGCUGAGGCAGGUGGAUUGACUGAGCUCAGGCGUUCCAGACCAGCCUGGCCAACAUCGUGAAACUCCAUUUAUACUAAAAAUACAAAAAAUUAGCUGGGCAUGGUGGCACACACCUGUAGUCCCAGCUACUUGGGAGGCUGAGACAUAAGAAUCACUUGAACCCAGGAGGUGGAGGUUGCAGUGAGCUGAGAUCACGCCACUGCAGCACCCCAGCCUGGGUGAGACAGCGAGACUCUGUCUAAAGAAAAAAGGUUGAACCAAGGCCUAGCUGUCUUUCCUAAUAGUGAAAGGGACCCCUCUCCUUCUGCUCUGUUCCCCUCCUCCACUAGGCUGGGCCUUUCUGUGCUGGAAGGUGCAUCUUGGGAAUCUCAGCAAAAGUCCACAUUAUCCUCUGUCCUGCAUGUGGUAGACCAUUCAUUUGUUAAUUUGUCCAUCUUUCCAUCUAUCCACUUACUCAUCUACCCACUCAACUACCCAUCUACUUGCUCAUCCAUCCAUCCAUCCAUCCAUCCUCCCAUCCAUCCAUCCACCCACCAGACCAUCCAUCCAUCCAUCCAUUCACCCACCAAACCAUCUAUCCAUCCAUCCAUCCAAGUACAAGACCAUCCAUCCAUCCAUCCAUCCAUCCACCCACCAAACCAUCCAUCCAUCCAUCCAUCCAUCCACCCACCCACCAGACCGUCCAUCCAUCCAUCUAUCCAUCCAUCCAUCCAUCCAUCCAUCCAUCCAUCCAUCCACCAAACCAUCCAUCCACCCACCAAACCAUCUAUCCAUCCAUCUAUCCAUCCAUCCAUCCAUCCAUCCAUCCAUCCAUCCAUCCAUCCACCAAACCAUCCAUCCACCCACCCACCAGACCAUCCAUCCAUCCAUCUAUCCAUCCAUCCAUCCAUCCAUCCAUCCAUCCAUCCAUCCAUCCACCAAACCAUCCAUCCAUCCAUCCAUCCAUCCAUCCAUCCAUCAUCCAUCCAUCCACCCACCCAUCCAUCCAUCAAUCCGUCUAUCCAUCCAUUCAUCUAUCAAUCCAUCCAUUCAUCCAUCUAGCCAUCCACCCACCCACUCACCCAUCCACCCAUCCAUUCAUUCUUACCUUAAUUCAACACAUUUGUACUGAACACCAGCAAUGUUGGUGCUAGGAAAAGAAUUGUGGAAGAACCAGACAUGGGGCAUGGGGAGCAGGUGAUAAAUAGAAAAAACUGAACAUAAGAACUCCAACCUGUGAUUAGUGCAUUGAGAAAACCAAACAGGCAUAGUGACAGAAACUUAGGUGGUAGGCAGGGAGGGAUGGGAGGUGAGCUGAAUAAUGGCCCCUAAAGAUGUUGAUGUCCUAAUCCCCAGAUCCUGAGAACAUGUGACUUUGCACCUGGCCAAAGGGACUUUGCAGUUGGGAUGGAGUGAAGGGUCUUGAGAUGGGAGCAUCAUUGUGGAUUAUCCAGGUGGGCCCUAUGUCAUUGCAAGGGUCCUUGUAAGAAGGAGACAGGAGAUCAGAAUGAGUAGUGGGCCAUGUGUUGAUGUGAGGAAGGGGCCACCAGCCAAAGAAUGCAGGCUGCCUCUAGAAACUGGAGAGGACAAGGAAACAAGCUGUCCCCUAGAGCCUCCAGAAGGAACCAGCCCUGCCAACACCUUGACUUUAGGCCUCUGAUUUCUGGAACUCUUACUAGAAUACGUUUGUGUUGUUUAAGCCACUAAGUUUGUGUCAUUUGUUACAGAAGCCACAAGAAACUAAUCCAUGGGGAUGGCCAGGCCUGAUUAGCUGGGGUGGGGCUGGAGGCUCCUCUACAGAGAUGAUGCUUACACUGAGACCUGAAGGAGAAGGAGGAGGUGGCUGCUCACGCAACCCACAGGAAAGUGUUCCAGGAUCAAGAACAGCAGGUGCAAAGGCCCCGUGAUGGAAAGGAUUGGUGCACUAGGAGAACAAAGUGGGUGGCUGCAGGGCAGGAGGGGAGGGUGCAUGUGCAGGCUGGGCAGGAGGGUAGGGCCUUGAGGCACCCUACAGGCCCCUGUAAGUCCAGGCACAGAGCUGCUGCCUUGAGCCCUGAGGUCUGGACAUUCCAGUUUCCCAUCUUUCCAAUGUGGGACUCUCUGCCUUUUCCAAUUCCCCACUUCCCUGAUGCCAGAUACUGCCUGACUGUGUCCAUCUCUCCCCCGUCCCCUGGGCCACCUCCCUGCUGAGACCCCUCACUGGUGCCUCCCAGGUGCAUUCUCCUCGCUGCCCCCAGCAGAGUCCUUCCCACACACCCAGCUCCUCGGUGUGGUGCCUGCCCGUGGGUGGGUGGUGCACCCCACUGGCAUCCCUCCUCUGCCCUGUCCACCUCAACUUCCAGGGCAGCCUGGACACCAGGUUUGGUCUACCUCGUCCACACCCGCCUGCUUCUGUCCCGCCUUAAGCGGAUCCGUGAUGUCCCGUCAUUAGACCUUCAAUUUCAGCACAGGACUGAAUAACUAACCUUCAAAAAGUUUGCAGUAGCCUUGUCACUCCUAAAAAUAACAAAUAAUUCCUUAAACAUCAUUCAACAUCCAAUCAGUGUUUGCACACUUUUUUUACAGCUCUGCAUGUGUGUCACAAGCUAAACAAGGCCCGUGAGUGGAUGUGCUUCUUUUUGGGGUUGGGGAGAGACGGUGUCUCACUCUGUUGCCCAGGCUGGAUUGCAGUGGCAAGAUCUUGGCUCAUUGUGUCUCCCGGGUUCAAGCGAUUCUUCUGCCUCAGACUCUUGAGUAGCUGGGACUACAGGCAGUGCCACCACGCCUGGCUAAUAUUUGUAUUUUUAGUGGAGACGGGGUUUCACCAUGUUGGUGAGGCUGGUCUCAAACUCUUGACCUCAUGUGAUCCCCCGACCUCGGCCUCUCAAAGUGCUGGGAUUACAGGUGUGAGACACCGUGCCCUGCCUGAUGUGCUCCUUUUAAUGACAGGUUCCCCGCAGCAUCUCCCUGUCCCUCUUCC